UACGUAGGUGGCAAGCGUUAUCCGGAAUUAUUGGGCGUAAAGCGCGCGCAGGUGGUUUCUUAAGUCUGAUGUGAAAGCCCACGGCUCAACCGUGGAGGGUCAUUGGAAACUGGGAGACUUGAGUGCAGAAGAGGAAAGUGGAAUUCCAUGUGUAGCGGUGAAAUGCGUAGAUAUCAAGAGGAACACCUGAGGUGAAGACGGGUUGCUGGGCCGACACUGACGCUGACAGCGCGAAAGCCAGGGGAGCAAACGGG
rnacentral:rRNA from 1 species